GCCUAUGCACACAUGACCAAGAAUGCGCCCGAUCUCAUCAGAUCUCAGAAGCUAAGCAGUGUUGAGCCUGGAUAGUCUUUGGAUGGGUGACUACCAAACACACCAGGUUGCCAAAGGUG
rnacentral:rRNA from 1 species